rnacentral:rRNA from 1 species
UACGAGUGCCUCAAGCGUUAUCCGGAAUUAUUGGGCGUAAAGAGCGUGUAGGCGGCCAGACAGGUCUGCUGUGAAAACUCGAGGCUCAACCUCGAGAUGUCGGCGGAAACCGUCUGGCUAGAGUCCGGAAGAGGAGAGUGGAAUUCCUGGUGUAGCGGUGAAAUGCGCAGAUAUCAGGAAGAACACCCGUGGCUAAGGCGGCUCUCUAGUACGGUACUGACGCUGAGACGCGAAAGCGUGGGGAGCGAACAGG